rnacentral:rRNA from 1 species
UACAGAGGUCCCAAGCGUUGUUCGGAUUCAUUGGGCGUAAAGGGUGCGUAGGCGGCGCGGUAAGUCGGGUGUGAAAUCUCGGGGCUUAACUCCGAAACUGCAUUCGAUACUGCCGUGCUUGAGGACUGGAGAGGAGACUGGAAUUUACGGUGUAGCGGUGAAACGCGUAGAUAUCGUAAGGAAGACCAGUGGCGAAGGCGGGUCUCUGGACAGUUCCUGACGCUGAGGCACGAAGGUCAGGGGAGCAAAACGGG